rnacentral:hammerhead_ribozyme from 1 species
GUACUGCUGAAGAGUCCCAGACUAGGACGAAACAGCUUUCCAGCAC